CCCCUCUCAGGAUCAAAUCUGGAGAGUUUCUAGUACUCUAUCAGUCUCUGCUACAGGAAGGAGAGUCAAGGAGAGGCAUACCCAUUCCAUUUCUAGCUUGGGCAGUAGCUAGUGAGUGGAAGGCAAUCUACUAUAAGU